AUGGGGAGUAAUAGACGUUUUUCAAGGUACGUAUUCAUAAAAUUAUUAUUCAGAUAACGUAUUUUAUCUAUGAUAGUAUAGUAUAUUUGUUAUUUAAUAUAUUUUAAAAAUGUUAUUCUUAUUAUAGGAAAAAGAACUGUGUCUAACACCAUUUGUACCCAAGUAAGACUCAAUCCAAAUAUUCCGGAGGUGGACAACUUCGUAGUAAUGUAAGUGUAUUUGCAUCAACAAAAAUUAUAGUUAAUCUUUGUUAUGUUAUUGAUAUAGUUUUGUUUCAUAUAUUAUUUUCUUAGGAAUCCAAGGAGGUCUACCCGCAUAAGUAGACAACGUCUAUGAUUAAGAGAAUCGCUAAAUUCGUUUUUCAUGUUUUUCAUAAUUCAGUUUGGUUUUAAUCUUUACACUUCAUGACUUCUCUUUUAAAUACUCAAUUAUACGUCUUUCUCAUAUCAUGCUUUCCGUUUUAUAUGCUAUUUAAAAUUAUGAAAUUUUCCCCAAACCGCAGCUUCGAAUAUAUUAAAUGUUUUUGAUAUAAAGUUGUUAAUUUUUUUCACAAAUCGAUAUGAUUCCUAUCUAAUAAUGUAAGUCUUUCACGCGAAACAAUAAAUCUGGCAGUUUGGACUGUUGUUGUUUGUGAGGAUAGGGUUUUAAUGAAUCACAUGCAGCAUAGUAAAUCGAGUUGGUGACCUUGGAGAUUUCAAUAUAGAUAGCUUCAUUUGUCAUGGCGUUUGAUAUAAUAUGAUUGAG
rnacentral:lncRNA from 1 species